rnacentral:rRNA from 1 species
UACGAAGGGUGCAAGCGUUACUCGGAUUUACUGGGCGUAAAGCGCGUUCAGGCGGUUUGGCAAGUCGGGCAUGAAAUCUCUCGGCUCAACCGGGAGAGGUUGUCCGAUACUGCCGGACUGGAGGGCAGUAGAGGGUGGUGGAAUUCCGGGUGUAGUGGUGAAAUGCGUAGAGAUCCGGAGGAACACCAGUGGCGAAAGCGGCCACCUGGACUGCACCUGACGCUGAAACGCGAAAGCUAGGGGAGCGAACGGG